CAAGAAUUAGUUUAUUAAAAAUACUUACUUUGGAAGUAAGCGAAAGGAUGUUCUCUUAUUCUUGA
rnacentral:tRNA from 1 species